rnacentral:miRNA from 1 species
UGAGCGUGUUUUCCCUGGACUG